AGGGAAAGCGGGGGAGGGGUUGACAGGGAUGAUCGGGAAGUGUAGGAUCAAACGGUUGACUCUUUCGGGGAGAAAAAAGCCCUGAAGAGAAAGACGCCCUGUGGAAACGCAGGGAGAGCGUCUCGGAUCAUUGACAACUAAAUAGGAGCAGCAACGUCCAAUUAAAGGGCCCUGAUCACGAAACACAGGAACAAAAUGAAUCUGGAGAGUUUGAUCCUGGCUCAGAACGAACGCUGGCGGCGUGCCUAACACAUGCAAGUCCAACGUGAAAGGGGAGCAAUCCCCCGGUAGGGUGGCAAACGGGUGAGUAAUACAUGGGUGAUCUACCUUAGGGAUGGGGAUAUCCUUCCGAAAGGAGGGCAAUACCGAAUAUUGUCCGGAGCCAUGAAGGGUUCCGGGGAAAGGGAGGCCUCUGGAUACAAGCUUUCGCCUUAAGAUGAGCCCAAUGGCCCAUCAGCUAGUUGGUAGGUAAAGGCCUACCAAGGCUACGACGGGUCGCUGGUCUGAGAGGACGACCAGCCACACUGGCACUGAGAUACGGGCCAGACUCCUAAC
rnacentral:rRNA from 1 species